rnacentral:rRNA from 1 species
GACGAACGCUGGCGGCGUGCUUAACACAUGCAAGUCGAGCGGUAAGGCCCUUCGGGGUACACGAGCGGCGAACGGGUGAGUAACACGUGAGUAAUCUGCCCAUCACUUCGGGAUAACUCCGGGAAACCGGUGCUAAUACCGAAUAUGACCACUUCAGGCAUCUGAUGGUUGUGGAAAGUUCCGGCGGUGAUGGAUGGGCUCGCGGCCUAUCAGCUUGUUGGUGGGGUAGUGGCCUACCAAGGCUUCGACGGGUAGCCGGCCUGAGAGGGUGACCGGCCACACUGGGACUGAGACACGGCCCAGACUCCUACGGGAGGCAGCAGUGGGGAAUAUUGGACAAUGGGCGAAAGCCUGAUCCAGCAACGCCGCGUGAGGGAUGACGGCCUUCGGGUUGUAAACCUCUUUCAGCAGGGACGAAGCGCAAGUGACGGUACCUGCAGAAGAAGCACCGGCCAACUACGUG